rnacentral:rRNA from 1 species
GAUUGAACGCUGGCGGUAUGCUUAACACAUGCAAGUCGAACGGAAACGAUACUAGCUUGCUAGUAGGCGUCGAGUGGCGGACGGGUGAGUAACGCGUAGGAAUCUGCCUGAUAGUGGGGGAUAGCCCGAAGAAAUUCGGAUUAAUACCGCAUAAUCUAUUCGUAGUAAAGUGGGGGACUUUCGAGCCUCACGCUAUCAGAUGAGCCUGCGUAAGAUUAGCUUGUUGGUAGGGUAAAAGCCUACCAAGGCGACGAUCUUUAGCUGGUCUGAGAGGAUGAUCAGCCACAUCGGGACUGAGACACGGCCCGAACUCCUACGGGAGGCAGCAGUGGGGAAUAUUGGACAAUGGGGGCAACCCUGAUCCAGCAAUACCGCGUGUGUGAAGAAGGCCUGAGGGUUGUAAAGCACUUUCAAUUGUGAAGAAAAGUUAGCGGUUAAUAACCGUUAGCCUUGACGUUAACUUUAGAAGAAGCACCGGCUAACUCCGUGCCAGCAGCCGCGGUAAUACGGAGGGUGCAAGCGUUAAUCGGAAUUACUGGGCGUAAAGCGUGCGUAGGCGGUUUAUUAAGUCAGAUGUGAAAGCCCCGGGCUUAACCUGGGAACUGCAUUUGAAACUGGUCAACUAGAGUAUGGUAGAGGAAAGUGGAAUUUCUGGUGUAGCGGUGAAAUGCGUAGAUAUCAGAAGGAACAUCAAUGGCGAAGGCAGCUUUCUGGACCAAUACUGACGCUGAGGUACGAAAGCGUGGGUAGCAAACAGGAUUAGAUACCCUGGUAGUCCACGCCGUAAACGAUGAUAACUAGCCGUUGGGGGGAUUUACCCUUUAGUGGCGAAGCUAACGCGUUAAGUUAUCCGCCUGGGGAGUACGGCCGCAAGGUUAAAACUCAAAGGAAUUGACGGGGACCCGCACAAGCGGUGGAGCAUGUGGUUUAAUUCGAUGCAACGCGAAGAACCUUACCUGGUCUUGACAUCCUGCGAACUUUCUAGAAAUAGAUUGGUGCCUUCGGGAACGCAGUGACAGGUGCUGCAUGGCUGUCGUCAGCUCGUGUCGUGAGAUGUUGGGUUAAGUCCCGUAACGAGCGCAACCCCUAUCCUUAUUUGCCAGCACAUCAUGGUGGGAACUAUAAGGAGACUGCCGGUGAUAAACCGGAGGAAGGCGGGGACGACGUCAAGUCAUCAUGGCCCUUACGACCAGGGCUACACACGUGCUACAAUGGAAAGGACAAAGAGCCGCGAAGCCGCGAGGUGUAGCUAAUCUCAUAAACCUUUUCGUAGUCCGGAUUGGAGUCUGCAACUCGACUCCAUGAAGUCGGAAUCGCUAGUAAUCGUAGAUCAGAAUGCUACGGUGAAUACGUUCCCGGGUCUUGUACACACCGCCCGUCAA